CAUAAAGGUAGUUUCCUGUGUUUUACUGUGGAAAGGAAAACCUGAAGAACUGUGGGAACAUUGGGUACAGUGAGAAAGACCGUUUUCAGGGACGUUUUGAUGUAAAAAUUGAAGUUAAGAGCUGAUCACAAGCACAAAUCUUUCCCACUAGCCAUUUAAUAAGUUAAAAAAAGAUACAAAAACAAAAACCUACUAGUCUUGAACAAACUGUCAUACGUAUGGGACCUACACUUAAUCUAUAUGCUUUACACUAGCUUUCUGCAUUUAAUAGGUUAGAAUGUAAAUUAAAGUGUAGCAAUAGCAACAAAAUAUUUAUUCUACUGUAAAUGACAAAAGAAAAAGAAAAAUUGAGCCUUGGGACGUGCCCAUUUUUACUGUAAAUUAUGAUUCCGUAACUGACUUGUAGUAAGCAGUGUUUCUGGCCCCUAAGUAUUGCUGCCUUGUGUAUUUUAUUUAGUGUACAGUACUACAGGUGCAUACUCUGGUCAUUUUUCAAGCCAUGUUUUAUUGUAUCUGUUUUCUACUUUAUGUGAGCAAGGUUUGCUGUCCAAGGUGUAAAUAUUCAACGGGAAUAAAACUGGCAUGGUAAUUUUUUUUUUUUUUUUUUUUUUGUUUUUUGGCUCUUUCAAAGGUAAUGGCCCAUCGAUGAGCAUUUUUAACAUACUCCAUAGUCUUUUCCUGUGGUGUUAGGUCUUUAUUUUUAUUUUUUUCCUGGGGGCUGGGGUGGGGGUUUGUCAUGGGGGAACUGCCCUUUAAAUUUUAAGUGACACUACAGAAAAACACAAAAAGGUGAUGGGUUGUGUUAUGCUUGUAUUGAAUGCUGUCUUGACAUCUCUUGCCUUGUCCUCCGGUAUGUUCUAAAGCUGUGUCUGAGAUCUGGAUCUGCCCAUCACUUUGGCUAGUGACAGGGCUAAUUAAUUUGCUUUAUACAUUUUCUUUUACUUUCCUUUUUUCCUUUCUGGAGGCAUCACAUGCUGGUGCUGUGUCUUUAUGAAUGUUUUAACCAUUUUCAUGGUGGAAGAAUUUUAUAUUUAUGCAGUUGUACAAUUUUAUUUUUUUCUGCAAGAAAAAGUGUAAUGUAUGAAAUAAACCAAAGUCACUUGUUUGAAAAUAAAUCUUUAUUUUGAACUUUAUAAAAAGCAAUGCAGUACCCCAUAGACUGGUGUUAAAUGUUGUCUACAGUGCAAAAUCCAUGUUCUAACAUAUGUAAUAAUUGCCAGGAGUACAGUGCUCUUGUUGAUCUUGUAUUCAGUCAGGUUAAAACAACGGACAAUAAAAGAAUGAACACAUUC
rnacentral:lncRNA from 10 species